UCUGCCAGGACUGCACAGUCUACAAAUUGACAGCCAAAUCGCCAUUGACUCCUAUCAGCCCCAGAUGUAUGCUAACUGAACCAAGGGAGGGAAAUGACUGAGGGCAUGUGGAGUCAGUCUUGGUCACCUGGUCCUUUUCAACUGUGCCCAGUCUCCGGGGUGACACAGCUGCACUGAGGCCCAGGGGAAGUGCGAAUGGGGACGCAAGAGCUGCCUCGCCAGACAGACCCUUCCUAAGUAUGGCACUGGGUAGUGAUGCGUAUGUGACCCACUGAGGUGGGCAGCCCAGGACAAGAAGCUAUACCCAGAGAGACAGCGGCCAUCUAGAUAAAUCCACGUACCUCUGGGCCAUGCCUGUGCAAUGGCUGCUGAUGAAAAAGAAUCACGGACACUGGGCUGGACCUAACUUCUGGCCAUCGGUGGGAACAUUUAUGAAGAGGGCCUUUCAAGUACAGAGGGACAGGAAGGGAUUAUCAGGACCCCCUGGGCUUGCUUGUCCCAAGAGUCAUUGGAUCCUGGACCUUGGACAAAUGUAGUCUCCAUAGCAGAGUGGGCACUGGGGGAUCCUGGAACAAGGCAUCAAGAGUACCACAGACAGUUCCUCUCCAGUUCUGAAUGCUGGGCUCUGGGAAGACCAAGAUGGAUUAAAAAAUGACAUGAAGAGGACUCUGGACUCUGGAGGGUUAAGGGACUGGAGUAUGGAGCCCUGCAGCCCCUCCACACCAGUCUAGAGGGUGUUGGGCUCCUGACCAACUCUAGAGUCUGAGGUCCUUGAAACACAAGUGAGUUCAGGGCUCACGAAGGUCUCUUCAGUCCUCUGUGCUGACCCUCAUCUUCUGCCUUGUUUGAGGAAGGGUCUCUUCUUGUUUACCACUGUGUAUACCAUGGUAGCUGACCUGUGAGUUUCCAAACACUCUCCUGUCUCCUCUCAUUUCACUAUAGAAACACUGGGGUGGCAGGCACACACUUCUGUGAGUCUAGAUUUACAUGGGAGCUGGGGAUUUGCUCUUCCAAGAUAUAUUUUUUUUAAAAGACAAGAUUUCUCUAUAUAGACCGGGCUGUUUUGGAAUUUUCUCUGUAGAGCAGGCUAGCCUCAAACUCACUGGGGUUUACCUACCUCUGCCUCCUGAAUGCUGGGAUUAAAGAUAUGUAUAACAACC